AGAGUUUGAUCAUGGCUCAGAUUGAACGCUGGCGGCAGGCCUAACACAUGCAAGUCGAGCGGUAGAGAGAAGCUUGCUUCUCUUGAGAGCGGCGGACGGGUGAGUAAUGCCUAGGAAUCUGCCUGGUAGUGGGGGAUAACGUUCGGAAACGGACGCUAAUACCGCAUACGUCCUACGGGAGAAAGCAGGGGACCUUCGGGCCUUGCGCUAUCAGAUGAGCCUAGGUCGGAUUAGCUAGUUGGUGAGGUAAUGGCUCACCAAGGCGACGAUCCGUAACUGGUCUGAGAGGAUGAUCAGUCACACUGGAACUGAGACACGGUCCAGACUCCUACGGGAGGCAGCAGUGGGGAAUAUUGGACAAUGGGCGAAAGCCUGAUCCAGCCAUGCCGCGUGUGUGAAGAAGGUCUUCGGAUUGUAAAGCACUUUAAGUUGGGAGGAAGGGUUGUAGAUUAAUACUCUGCAAUUUUGACGUUACCGACAGAAUAAGCACCGGCUAACUCUGUGCCAGCAGCCGCGGUAAUACAGAGGGUGCAAGCGUUAAUCGGAAUUACUGGGCGUAAAGCGCGCGUAGGUGGUUUGUUAAGUUGGAUGUGAAAUCCCCGGGCUCAACCUGGGAACCGCAUUCAAAACUGACUGACUAGAGUAUGGUAGAGGGUGGUGGAAUUUCCUGUGUAGCGGUGAAAUGCGUAGAUAUAGGAAGGAACACCAGUGGCGAAGGCGACCACCUGGACUAAUACUGACACUGAGGUGCGAAAGCGUGGGGAGCAAACAGGAUUAGAUACCCUGGUAGUCC
rnacentral:rRNA from 1 species